rnacentral:rRNA from 1 species
UACGUAGGGCGCAAGCGUUGUCCGGAAUUAUUGGGCGUAAAGAGCUCGUAGGCGGCCAGUCACGUCGGAUGUGAAAGCCCGAGGCUUAACCUCGGGUCUGCAUUCGAUACAGGCUGGCUAGAGUGUGGUAGGGGAGAUCGGAAUUCCUGGUGUAGCGGUGAAAUGCGCAGAUAUCAGGAGGAACACCGGUGGCGAAGGCGGAUCUCUGGGCCAUUACUGACGCUGAGGAGCGAAAGCGUGGGGAGCGAACAGG